GCGCCGGUAGUGCAACGGUUCAGCACGCGCCCCCGGAAAGGGUGAAAUAUGGGUUCGUAUCCCAGAUGACGCA